rnacentral:rRNA from 1 species
CAGUCGCCGCGGGAAAACAGAGGGUGCAAGCGUUAAUCGGAAUUACUGGGCGUAAAGCGCGCGUAGGUGGUUUGUUAAGUUGGAUGUGAAAUCCCCGGGCUCAACCUGGGAACUGCAUCCAAAACUGGCAAGCUAGAGUAUGGUAGAGGGUGGUGGAAUUUCCUGUGUAGCGGUGAAAUGCGUAGAUAUAGGAAGGAACACCAGUGGCGAAGGCGACCACCUGGACUGAUACUGACACUGAGGUGCGAAAGCGUGGGGAGCAAACAGGAUUAGAUACCCCCGUAGUCCCUGUCUCUUAUAC